GACGAACGCUGGCGGCGUGCUUAACACAUGCAAGUCGAACGGAAAGGCCCUGCUUUUGUGGGGUGCUCGAGUGGCGAACGGGUGAGUAACACGUGAGUAACCUGCCCUUGACUUUGGGAUAACUUCAGGAAACUGGGGCUAAUACCGGAUAGGAGCUCCUGCUGCAUGGUGGGGGUUGGAAAGUUUCGGCGGUUGGGGAUGGACUCGCGGCUUAUCAGCUUGUUGGUGGGGUAGUGGCUUACCAAGGCUUUGACGGGUAGCCGGCCUGAGAGGGUGACCGGCCACAUUGGGACUGAGAUACGGCCCAGACGCCUACGGGAGGCAGCAGUGGAGAAUAUUGCACAAUGGGCGGAAGCCAGAGGCAGCAACGCCGCGUGCGGGAUGACGGCCUUCGGGUUGUAAACCGCUUUCGCCUGUGACGAAGCGUGAGUGACGGUAAUGGGUAAAGAAGCACCGGCUAACUACGUG
rnacentral:rRNA from 1 species